UGAAACAUUAUUGUGUGAUUAAAUAACAAUUUUAUAUUUGAAUAGCGUUAAGAUUAUAAAUGUUUCGUUAUUGCCAACCUAAUAGUAGUAGUGGCAUUAGGUAGGCAGUAGGCACAACUUACAAAAAAAUACGUUUACGCGCCAUCCUGCCCGUAAAAAAAAUGAAGCUAUAUUAUUAUUAUUAUUGUGUUGCGUGUAUGUAACAUGACUCGUUUAUAAUGUACUGUAUUUAUUUACAUAUUGUUUACGAAUAAAACGUGUGUUUGUUUAAACUGUAUAACUACUAACUACUCGCCAAGAACGCCAAGAACUUGCUUGCAUACUUGGGGCCGCUUAAAAUGUUAAAUCCAGUGAAAACAAUUAAGUUUUGAUGCAAGAAGUGUGCGGACCACCGGCCCCGGGCCCUCUCAACCUUUAUGCGAGUACCUACAUACAUACAUACAUAACUGUGCACCCGUACCGGCACCGUCUACUAUCUACUGUCGUCAAUUAGGAUGCAGUAUGGAUCGCAGACACAUCUCAUCGUCCAGUUUUCCAGUUUCCACCAGCCAUACCACCAGCUAUGACCAGGCACCAGACGCCAGCGGCGCC